rnacentral:rRNA from 1 species
AAUCAACGCUGGCGGCGUGCCUCAGACAUGCAAGUCGAACGAUUAAAGCUCCCUUCGGGGAGUGCAUAGAGUGGCGCACGGGUGAGUAACACGUAAGUAAUCUACCCUCGAGUGGGGAAUAACGUCCGGAAACGGACGCUAAUACCGCAUAAUGCAGCGGCACCGCAAGGUGACAGUUGUUAAAGAUUUAUCGCUUGAGGAGGAGCUUGCGGCAGAUUAGCUAGUUGGUAAGGUAAUGGCUUACCAAGGCUACGAUCUGUAACCGGUCUAAGAGGACGGUCGGUCACACUGACACUGAAUAACGGGUCAGACUCCUACGGGAGGCAGCAGUCGGGAAUUUUGGGCAAUGGGCGAAAGCCUGACCCAGCAACGCCGCGUGAAGGAUGAAGUAUUUCGGUAUGUAAACUUCGAAAGAAUGGGAAGAAUCAAUGACGGUACCAUUUAUAAGGUCCGGCUAACUACGUGCCAGCAGCCGCGGUAAUACGUAGGGACCAAGCGUUGUUCGGAUUUACUGGGAC